UGGCGAACGGGUGAGUAACAUAUCGGAACGUACCGGGUANCGGGGGAUAACUGAUCGAAAGAUCAGCUAAUACCGCAUACGUCUUGAGAGGGAAAGCAGGGGACCUUCGGGCCUUGCGCUAUCCGAGCGGCCGAUAUCUGAUUAGCUGGUUGGCGGGGUAAAGGCCCACCAAGGCGACGAUCAGUAGCGGGUCUGAGAGGAUGAUCCGCCACACUGGGACUGAGACACGGCCCAGACUCCUACGGGAGGCAGCAGCC
rnacentral:rRNA from 1 species